CUGGCUCAGGAUGAACGCUAGCUACAGGCUUAACACAUGCAAGUCGAGGGGCAGCAUUGGAGUAGCAAUACUCAGAUGGCGACCGGCGCACGGGUGAGUAACACGUAUCCAACCUGCCGCUUACUCGGGGAUAGCCUUCGAAAGAAAGAUUAAUACCCGAUGGUAUAAAGAGUUCGCAUGUUCUCUUUAUUAAAGAAUUUCGGUAAGCGAUGGGGAUGCGUUCCAUUAGAUAGUUGGCGGGUAACGGCCCACCAAGUCUACGAUGGAUAGGGGUUCUGAGAGGAAGGCCCCCCACAUUGGAACUGAGACACGGUCCAAACUCCUACGGGAGGCAGCAGUGAGGAAUAUUGGUCAAUGGACGAGAGUCUGAACCAGCCAAAAGUAGCGUGAAGGAUGACUGCCCUAUGGGUUGUAAACUUCUUUUAUAAGGGAAUAAAGUGAGGGACGUGUCCCUUUUUGUAUGUACCUUAUGAAUAAGGAUCGGCUAACUCCGUGCCAGCCGCGGC
rnacentral:rRNA from 1 species